rnacentral:misc_RNA from 1 species
GAUGAAGAACGUAGCGAAAUGCGAUACUUGGUGUGAAUUGCAGAAUCCCGUGAACCAUCGAGUCUUUGAACGCAAGUUGCGCCCGAAGCCAUUAGGCCGAGGGCACGCCUGCCUGGGCGUCACACGUCGUUGCCCCCCCAUCUACUCCUUCGGGAUUGCGGGGGGCGGAUGAUGGCCUCCCGUGCGCCUCGUCGCGCGGUUGGCCUAAAUGCCAAGUCCUCGGCGACGCACGCCACGACAAUCGGUGGUUGCGAAACCUCGGUUGCCCGUCGUGUGCGGUCGUCGCGCAUCGAGGGCUCGAAAAAAUUGCCGGGCUUCGGCUCGACUUUCAACGCGACCCCAGGUCAGGCGGGGUUACCCGCUGAAUUUAAGCAUAUCAAUAGCGGAGGA